GGGCUGGCUGCUACCAUGGGGCCUCAUAUAAAUAAUAUCGAACACAAAUGAAAACAAACUUUUUUUUGCUGGAUUCACAUCAUAAAGUUCUUGAGUUUUAUUUCUAUUUUUUUUUUUUUUCAGUUAUUUCGUUAUUAAUUAAUAUUAAAUUAAUUUCAAUUUAAAUAUUUCCUAUAACCUAAUUGGUGUUCUUUCGGCCAGAGAGGUUCAUCUCUUGGCAUUUCUUAUGAAUAAAUAAUUUUCAAAUAUUUGUUUUUCUCUUUUUAUUAAUUUUACAUUCACACAUAUUUGAUUUUUUCUGUCUGUACGAUUCGAGUGUGUGUGUGUGUUCAUAUCAAAUAUUUAAGUUGUGAACAUUUAUUAGAAAACAAUCGAAUGGAGUUGGGUUUUUUGAAUAAUAAUUCGAAUGAAAUGCAAAAUGUUAUUUUUAAUACACCCAAGUAUACUGACAGAUUCCGCAUACAUAUAUACGUACGUAUGCAGUUGAAGUAUAAUUCACAACUGAAAUGCAUAAAUGUUACAUAAUUGUAUUUGUAUUUGUAUGGGUUUCAUAGGCGUUUUUCUUGGAUUUUCUCUUGUUAAUAUGCGUUAAAUUUAGUUUUCAAUGAACAUGAUAACUUUUGCAAUAACAAUCAUAAUAUUCGGAAUUGUAAUUAAUAUGGGGGUUUCUAUGUUCAAACACAUUAAUAAUUUUAAAAUUUCUUAUGAUAUUUUUGUGUUGGAAAUUCUCUCGGCAUCAGUAGUAAGGUGAUGAUUUAUCAAUAAUUACACACGCAUAAUAAACAUUAAUUAACGAUUAAAUAAAUUAAAACACGAAAUGAGUAUUAUCUACAUGAAAAUAUUACAAAUGUACUAAUGUCGGGGUUCGUUACACAUUGACGAUCGGCGAAUGUGUGAAAUCAUCAAACUAUAAAGAGGAUUACAAAUGGAAGCACAGUUAAGUUUCUAACGGCAUGUUGUCGAAAUGUUGAAGGAACUCCAGGUAGGCGUUAAUUUUUUUCUUUUGGAGGACACUGUAGAGUGAAAUUCUGUGUGACUUAAAUAAUCUGAUAGACGACACCCCAAAUUGUGGGUGUGUUUCUAUAUCCCGAUUAAGCAUAUGAGAUUCAAAUGUGGUUAGAGAAAAUACAUAUUUUAUUGAUUCGUUUCGCAUUUAUGUAUUUUUAGAUUGAAAAGCUCUUUGCAUUGGAUUUCGAUCAGCAUUCAACAACAUGCCCCAUAAUCUAUUAUUAAUUUAAUUUUUGUUUGUUUUGAAGAAUAUCUUUAAAAAUGGAGAACAAUGUGUCUAUGUUUAGCAGGAAGUACUUAAAUAUUAGACUUACAUUUUAUUGUUUAUAAACUAUCUAUCAAGGCAAUAUUUGAUUGAUAUAAAAUGUCUCAUUUUUCGAUUUUUCUUCAUCCGUAAUUUUAUAAUUCCACCUUAAUGAAUCUUAGUUUGUAACAUACAUAUGUAUGUAUGUAUGUAUGUAUUUCAACAUUGAAGCGUUUGUUUUUCAUUCUUUUAUUAUUAAUACGUUUAUUUUGCUUUUUAGUUGUUUGUAUUGCAUUAUAUAAAUAAAAUAAUAUCAAUUGAUUUCAUUAUAGAAUAGUUUAUAUAAAUAUGUGUGUAUAGUAUUACUGACAUACAGACAUGUAAUGGCACUAAUGAAUGAGAAGAAGAUGGUGAUGAUGAUGAUGAUGAUGAUAAUAAUAAUGGUAGUGGGAAUGAUCCUUAAACAUCAAUCCGAUUUGGGUUCAACAUCAAUUUGUUUCCUUGCGUUUCGAUUUUCUGAAAUGUGGAGCAAAAAUAUGAAAUGUUUUAGCAACGGGUCGUUCUAAUCUAACACAAUAAAUACUGUCAGGGGAAAAAAUCUUAAAAUUGUUGGAAUAAACAAUUAAAAAAACAGUAAGUUCAGCCGGGUCGAAUUUUGAAUACCCUUCACCAUUUGGUGAACACUUUGAAAAGUGUUUUUAAAUCAGCAAAAUACCUAGUAUAGGGAAGUACAGUUAUAUGGAGGCUAUGCGAAGACCUGGACCUUCAUAAGCAAUUUAUCUAUUUUAUCUACAAAUACUAAAUUUAAGACAAUUCAAAUAAUGUCGCAAAAAUCAUCAAAAUGCCGAAUAUUGGGAGGUACCGUUAUAUAGGGGCUAUACCAACAAUACCAAAAGUCUUGCACACCAAACACACAUCUGAGUAAAAUUGUAUCAACCGUUCCACAGACGGACGGAUAUAGAAUUUCUAUGUGUACUUUGUAGGGUCUAAAAGAUAUAUUUCGAGGUGUUCCGAACGGGAUGACAAACUUGAUAUACCCUCCAUACCAUGGCGGAGGGUAUAAAAAUGCAUUAAAUUCUAAGUUAUAAACUCUUUUAAUCUCUUAUGAAAAAAUUCAAUAAUUUAUAUCUUUACUCCUAAAAGUAUGCAAAUGUAUGGUUUUGUUAAAAUUACAGGGUGUUCCAUCAUUUUUCGUUUCACAACAGGUAUUUGUAAUAAUAAUAAUAAUAAUAUUUAGAAACUUUCCAUACCAUAAUAAUAUUUGCAUAUUUGCUAAUAUGAUCAUUUUGAAGUACUAUCAACGACUUUUGGCAUUUUACAACUGCCCUCCCCUACCGUCUGGGCAAAGUACCUCUCUCAAUGAGUCAAUUUCGCAUUUCUCUCUCUUACAAUUGUUUUACCAUUAAAAAAGUAAACGGAAAAUGCUAUAAUGACAAUUUAGUUGGGAUUAAACUUUUUUAAUUUUUUGCCAUCGUAUUCCAGCACAAACUUGUUAGUUGUGUGAAUCGAAACUCAAUUUACAAAGUAAAAAUUUGUAAAAAUUACAAAGCAAAAUAAGUUAUUUUUCUUCUUUCGGUGUGCGGGACCGAUUACAAAACCGAAGAUUGUAAGUGAGAAACUCGGAGUGGGCAAACGAAGAAAAACACAAUGAAAUACGAUGUAGAAAUAAGACUUUUGGGUUCGCAAGACUUUUGGGUUCGCAGUGCCUAUCGUGUUUAACUACAAAUCAAAAGGUUGGGUAGGAAACUCUUUAUUUUGUAAUAUACCAUAUAUAUAAUAAUAUGAUAAUGUAAUAUACCAUAUACCGGAUAUCUAUUAUCCGAUUCGACAAUAUUGAUUGGUAUUCACCAUCUUUACAUAAUGUAUUUCAAAAGGAUAUUUUGACGUUUAUGUAUGCGUAUUCUUUCGAAAAUUAGUAAAACAAGUCUGCACAACAUUCUGUAAAUGGUCUUUGCGAUUCUUUAGAUGAACUCUCAUUAAUCAGGAUUCAUAUUACCAGUUAAUCUGAUUGUGAUUUAUUGGUUAAAUGUUUUUUGGUUCGUCGGGGUAGUACAAACAUAUCAUAUUAGUUAAGACUAUUUUGUCAAGGAUUUUUAUUGUUCAAGAAUAUUUCGGAUGAUAUUCAUUGGAGAAUUUACUUCUUUCCUCUUUCAACAUAUACAUGGUUAAUAGAAAAAUAGAUUUCCAAUUUCAUUGGUGAAAUUGCCGAGCAUUUUUUGUCGUCUUGUUUGCAAUUCUUUGACUACAAAUCGUUCUUUGCAUUCAAAUCUCCUUCUUUUUUUGUACACUUUCAAGUGUUAAGAUUAAUUUGAAAUGAAAUUGCGCAUUGGAAUAAAUUUCGACAACAUGUUGUGACGGUCGCAGCGUUUGAAUUAUCGACAAAGGCUGAGGCAGAAUACAAAAGCAAAACAAUUGACAUUGAUACUCUUUCUGAGAACCCAUAAAAAGGUUAAAAAACACUAUUGAAAUAAAACCCUGAGGCUAUACCCGAUUCCUGUCAGAAUUAAUCAAAAUUAUAUGCAACAAGCACAACUCGAAAUGAAUGCAAAUAAAACAAUUAACAAAAUAUUGGUUAUGGAACUCUGAGCAUUUCAAAGCAUUUCGGAAACCCAAUUUAACGAAUACGAAUACAGAAAAUUGAACAGAUAGACAAUUCGUCCACACUUCGUGUCUGGAUAGGGGGACUCGAAGGACCUGUUGAUGCCCUAAAAUGAAUUUCACAUGCCAUGAAUGAGGUUCAAAAUUUUAUUUUUUAUUGUUUUAAUUUUAAUGUGUCUUUUUAAUAAAUAAAUUUCAUAAAUUUGUA